GCCAAUCUGGUGCCCUACCACUGAGCUACACCCCCCAGCCCAUCUUAGUAUCUUUACAUCUCACACCAACCCUAGAAAGUACUUUACUAAUAUCUCCAUUUCACAGGUGAGGAAAAUGAGAUAAGAACAUUUAGUAACUUGCCCAAGAUCACAUAGCCACAAAGGAGUACAGCUUGGCUUUAGUUCUGAACUCUACAGGCCUUCUUCUACAAAAUAAGCCUAAGAUGUAAAAAGCAGAACACCAACUCCGGGGAUUUAAGAUGGUGAUACCCUCAUAUGGGGAACCCUGGAGAAUGUCAUAUAUCACAGAAAAGCCACCACACUUCUGAACCUUAGAGAAGAAAUUGAAAAUGCAUGUGCAGUCAUCUCAGUGACCAAGGUUACCCAAGCAGCAGUUCAUCGUACUGAUAAAUGUCUAGAAGCUAAUGGCCACCACUUUGAGCACCUCUUGUAAUUCUAGAGGCCAAAGGUAACUUGUAUUAAUCUCAUGAUCUCUCUCUCUCUCUCUCUCUCUCUCUCUCUCUCUCUCUCUAUAUAUAUAUAUAUAUAUAUAUAGUUGU
rnacentral:lncRNA from 1 species